rnacentral:rRNA from 1 species
UGGGGAAUAUUGGCACAAUGGGCGCAAGCCUGAUGCAGCCAUGCCGCGUGUGUGAAGAAGGCCUCGGGUUGUAAAGCACUUUCAGCGAGGAGGAAGGUGGUGGACUUAAUACGUUCAUCAAUUGACGUUACUCGCAGAAGAAGCACCGGCUAACUCCGUGCCAGCAGCCGCGGUAAUACGGAGGGUGCAAGCGUUAAUCGGAAUUACUGGGCGUAAAGCGCACGCAGGCGGUUUGUUAAGUCAGAUGUGAAAUCCACAGGCUCAACCUGGGAACUGCAUUUGAAACUGGCAAGCUAGAGUCUCGUAGAGGGGGGUAGAAUUCCAGGUGUAGCGGUGAAAUGCGUAGAGAUCUGGAGGAAUACCGGUGGCGAAGGCGG